AGCUUUGCGUGGUGGCAGUAUUGUAGCCAGGGAAGUUUAUCUGAAGUACAGUUAUUGCUAAUUGAAACUUCCCAGUACCCUAUUGUGAUGACUUGAAAUACAGUCAGCAUUGGCAAUUAAGUCUCAGUGGAGA
rnacentral:snRNA from 1 species